rnacentral:rRNA from 1 species
UGACUCACGCGGGAAUCUUACCGGGUCCGGACACACUGAGGAUUGACAGAUAUAUAAAAUACAAUACUUUGUAUUUUAAAAAAUGCUAGUUCUUUCAUGAUUAUGUGAUAGGUGGUGCAUGGCCGUUCUUAGUUCGUGGAGUGAUCUGUCUGCUUAAUUGCGUUUCACUUAAAUAAAUAAUUAUUAUAUACACUACGGUGUUAAUAUAUAGAUUAUUAUAUAGAAAGCAACGAACGUGAUCGUUGUCUUUUAUUGUGUAUA